rnacentral:misc_RNA from 1 species
GAUGAAGAACGUAGCGAAAUGCGAUACUUGGUGUGAAUUGCAGAAUCCCGUGAACCAUCGAGUCUUUGAACGCAAGUUGCGCCCGAAGCCAUUAGGCCGAGGGCACGCCUGCCUGGGCGUCACACGUCGUUGCCCCCCCAUCUACUCCUUCGGGAUUGCGGGGGGCGGAUGAUGGCCUCCCGUGCGCCACGCCGCGCGGUUGGCAUAAAUGCCAGGUCCUCGGCGACGCACGCCACGACAAUCGGUGGUUGCGAAACCUCGGUUGCCCGUCGUGUGCGGUCGUCGCGCAUCGAGGGCUCGAAAAAAUUGCCGGGUUCCGGCUCGGCUUUCAACGCGACCCCAGGUCAGGCGGGGUUACCCGCUGAAUUUAAGCAUAUCAAUAAGCGGAGGA